GACGAACCGUGCGAACGUUGUUCGGAAUCACUGGGCUUAAAGGGCGCGUAGGCGGGCUGUCAAGUCUGGGGUGAAAUGCCGCGGCUCAACCGUGGAACUGCCUUAGAUACUGACGGCCUCGAGGAAGGUAGGGGCAUGCGGAACUGUAGGUGGAGCGGUGAAAUGCGUUGAUAUCUACAGGAACUCCGGUGGCGAAAGCGGCGUGCUGGACCGGUAUUGACGCUGAGGCGCGAAAGCCAGGGGAGCAAACGGG
rnacentral:rRNA from 1 species